CCUACGGGUGACUGCAGUGGGGAAUAUUGGACAAUGGGGGAAACCCUGAUCCAGCGACGCCGCGUGAGUGAAGACGUAUUUCGGUACGUAAAGCUCUAUCAGCAAGAAAGCAAAUGACGGUACCUGUAUAAGAAGCCACGGCUACCUAAGUGCCAGCAGCCGCGGUAAUACGUAGGGGUCAAGCGGUAGCCGGUAUUACUGGAUGUAAAGGGAGCGUAGACGGGGAUGCAAGGCUGGAGGUAAAGGCGGGGGCCCAACCCCCGGACUGCGCUGGAAACUGUGUAACUUGAGUGCAGGAGAGGUAAGCGGAAUUCCUAGUGUAGCGGUGAAAUGCGUAGAUAUUAGGAAGAACUCCAGUGGCGAAGGCGGCUUACUGGACUGUAACUGACGUUGAGGCUCGAAAGCGUGGGUAGCGAACAGGAUUAGAUACCCGAGUAGUC
rnacentral:rRNA from 1 species